GAUGAAGAUCGUAGCGAAAUGCGAUACUUGGUGUGAAUUGCAGAAUCCCGUGAACCAUCGAGUCUUUGAACGCAAGUUGCGCCCGAAGCCAUCAGGUUGAGGGCACGUCUGCCUGGGCGUCACAUAUCGUUGCCCAAUGCCUAUUGCAGUGCAAUAGGAAUUUCUAGGGCGAAUGAUGGCUUCCCGUGAGCGUUGUUGCCUCGCGGUUGGUUGAAAAUCGAGUCCUUGGUAGGGUGUGCCAUGGUAGAUGGUGGUCGAGUUAGAACGAUACCGAUCAUGUGCAUGCUCCCCAAAAUAUGGCCUCUAUGACCCACACGCGUCUUUUGACGCUCAUGACGAGACCUCAGGUCAGGCGGGGCUACCCGCUGAAUUUAAGCAUAUCAAUAAGCGGAGGA
rnacentral:misc_RNA from 1 species